UUGUGCUAUAUUAAAAAUUUCUUAAAUUGAAUGAGGUUACAUCAUGUUUGGCUACUUCUUUAUUCAGUUCAUGCAUGCACUAUUCCAUGUAUAAACAAUUUACUGAUUGUAUAAAGAAAAAUUCGAAGGUAAGUUGAAGAGGAGCAACCGAGAUUGAAGUGUAUUUUGGCUUUUCUUGAGUUUAAAUUACUCUUUGGUUCAUAAAUUAUUGAGGAUGUUGAUUAUUUUCUUUGGGGUAUGUUAAAAGGUGAAGAAAAUCGAACAAGGAGAGGAGGAGAGUGAGAAAUCCCAAGAUUAAGGACUAGAGCUUAGCAAGGUGAUUUGAUGACGUGGAUCCAUGGAAGAUUUAUAUGGAAGAUCAGGAAGACAUCCAGAUUUAGCACUCAAAUAACGCUCUCCAUGCAUUUUGCUGUUACAAUUCUUAGAUUUAUAUGGAAGACAACCAGGUAUAGCUACUUUUUCUUUAAAGACCAAUAUAUAGCUCCUCUAAUAUUAUGAACUAUUGAAUUCAAAUGCUUUUGUUUAAUGUGUUGAUUAUUACAUUUCAUCUCAUUUGAGUGUUUUAUGCAACUAUAUUUGUUUCUAAUUUAAAUAACGUGUGGAAGAAGUCAUCCAUGAAUUUGUUGUUUUAAGUUUUGGACUUCGUUGUAGAAAAUUGGUGAGUGUCUUCCCUUCAUAAUUUAGGGUACCCUAGAACUAGCCCUACAAGGGCCACAACAAAACCUUCCAGGGAAGGCUUCUAUCUGAAAUACACCUUAAGGAUAUUGUAUUAUGAAUAGUUACAUACGGUUCUCUUGUAGUUCUCCUGUUUGUUGUUCGUUGAUUUGAAGAUUAUGUUUUAAGGUUUCACCUAAAUGUGCAUACUGACGAGUGACGAGUGACAUAUCUUUAUCUCACAAUCAUGCUAGUAUGUUUCAGUUUGGAUUUUGACUAUUCAGGUAAUUUAUUUAGCACGGUUUUGUAGAUAUUAUGCAUAUAGAUCCCUACUGCAGAAGUUGAGAUGUUCGACAUGCAUUCAAUAAAAAAAGAGGGGGUUGGGGGGGGGGGGGGGGUACUAAAUGAUGCUCUUGUGCAUUUCAAUAUGUCAUUUAAGUUAUUUAAUCUAGGCACAUUAUUACAUUUGAUGGAAAUUCAAAUUCUAUGUUUCUCCAUUUGGAGCAACAAAUGGUCGGUACUGCUCUAAUAAGAUAAUUACUGUACAGCUAGUGAGCCAAGUGAAGAAGGUUUUGCUUCAAGGAUAAGUAUCUUGACACUGUACAUCUACUCUUGGUUAAGAAAUGAUCUUGCUAAUAUGAAAUCAACUGAAUAAUACUUAUGUUUGGCACUAACUCUUCUCCACCCUAUUUGUAAAUGCAUCUUUAAUGAUAAGUUGUCUUCUACUUGUAAGGAUGAGGUAUCUCAUUGAUGCUAUCUUCUCCUUCUCUCUUUAUUUUCAGUUCCUGUAUCUGAUUCUAGUUUCAGCAAUUUCGAGUUCGUUGUCAACAUAAAAAGUAACCAAAAAUUUGUUGUUGAUUUCAUGAGUCGAAAUUUGCUAUGAAAUAUUGUUUUGAAGUUACACCAUUGCUAGUUCAAAACUUGAAAGCCCAUUUUUUUUUUGGAUAAAAGGAAAUGUCAAUAGCUAGUUCUCAUGUUGCUUGGAUAAGGUUUUACUUUCUUGCUCAAUGAUGAAGUUUCACUAAUGGGUAUUGGGAACAGCUUGAACAAAAUAUGUUAUCAGUAUUAAGGUCUCACUAAGAUUUGAAAAUUACAGUUUUGUAUGGGUUCCUCAUUUGUGUUUGUUCCAAUACAUCUUGUUUUAUCUUUUUAGGUUUUCAGCUUUUAACUAGGCAAUGUAAUCUCCGAUUUGUUUGGACUUCAUGGUGUAGCAUCAUUGGUUCUAUGUGUUCUGCUCCUGUUAAAAAGACAAAUAUUAGCACCUCGGAUCCUCGGGUAUCAAGGAAGAAGAAACAAAAAGAUAUCAUCUAAGCCCCAACAUAAGUCGGACUGUGUCAGCGAUUCACCAAAGUAGCCUGUUUCUAUCGAACUGGAGGAAUCUUAGUUUUAAAAAGUGCGUCUAGGCUCAAGGCGCAGGUCCAGGCGUGUAGCCAUGACACUCUCAGGCACCCUACAAAAGGUGUGUGCCUUAUGCUCCUUUUCCUAGGCUCAAGGCGCAACGCGACUUUUAUGGCUCCCUAACAGUUAGAAUUACUAUAUUGAAAAGAGGAAAGAGAAGACCCCAAAUCACUCUAUGUUUUUUCUUGACCCUCUCAACGACGGGUCAUGGAAACUCCUUUUUCAAUUUUAAAGUAAUUGUUUAUGUAAGGUAUGUUACACUUUGAGAAUCUAAAUAAAGAUCCGGGGACUAAAAAGUUACUUUCUUCCUUAGUCCCCUUUUUGUUUUUUCCCAAGGCUUUUAUUUUUACUAUAAUUACUAAUUUAUCCUUCUGUGACAACAAGUAAUACGUUUUGAAUUUCUUUUUACAGAAAAUUAAAACUACAAAAUUAUUAAAUAAAUUGUUCGCCUUGCCUACGAAAGGCGCGAGCUUAGGCUCCAAGGACUUUUGCGCCUUGCGCCUAGGCUCCACAGACUUUUGCGCCUUGGCGCGCCUUGCGCUUCUUAAAACUGACGACAAGCAUUUGAUCAUCCAAACUUCUAAUCUUCCCUUUUCUCUUCGUCAUUUUCGGUAUCAAAUAUGAUAGUAUUUUUUGCUCCACAUGGUUUAUAAUUCGGUGGCCUCUUUUAUGAUAUCACUCUACCGCUCUCUUUAGUGUUAUGAGUGAUCUUGUAAAAGAGACCAACGAGUUAUAUACCAUAUGGAGCAGAAAAAUAUUAUCAAAUUUGAUACGGAAAAUGAUGAAGAAAAAAGAGAAAAUUUAGAAGUUUGGAUGAUCAAAUGCUUGCCGAAUUAGGGGGAAAAUCAUUUUUUUUUUAUUUUAAAUUAUUUGACCAAGUUCUAUAAGUAGCUUCAUUUAUUUGAUUUAAAAAUAUCAUGAUAUUAGUCAAACAAAUGAAUGAAACUAUUUAUAGAAUUUGGUUUAAUAAUUUGAAAAUAAGAAAAUUUUUGAUAAUUUACUGACGUGUUUAUGAUACACCCUAAUGAAUUCCAACCAUAUCUAAGGCAAACACUGUUCUCAAAGUGUUAAAAAAAUGUAGGGGAAAAAACGAUUUAAUUUUUUCAAAUUAUUUGACCAAGCUUUAUAGUAGCUUCUUUCAUUUGUUUGAGGUAUAUCAUGAUAUUACUUAAACAAAUGAAUGAAGCUACUUAUAGAUCUUGGUCAAAUCAUUUGAAAAAUAAAUCAAAAUAAUAAUUUCCCCUUGGAUUUUUUUUGUUAGAAGAGUGUUGUUUCUGGUGACAUUAGAAAUAGAAAAAUUUAUAAAAAUAACAAUUUCGUAAAGUAUAUGUAGUAUAACUUUUACUUUUUUGUAAAAGAUACGAGAAUCCUUCCCUGUUGUGUUAGUAAGAUUUGAUGACCUAAACAAGGUACGUAGCUUAUCCAGCUAUUACACGUAUAGUACAGGUCUCUUUGCAUCAUGCAUGGAACAAGUUAUCAUGGUGCACCUUUUAUGGAAAUUGAUAUUUUUGGCUAGAUCUAUCAGUUCCGCUGUGAAAAAAUUGAAGGAAAAAAAUAAGCCAUUUCCCGAAUUGGUGAUAAGUGUUGCAUAAAAAUAAACUAUUUAGCUUUCCAUCCAUGUGACAUUAACUCCAGAUGGAAUAGAUAAUGUCCAUUAACUCCAGUUCAUGGCUCUGAUAUUGCAUUCUGUUAAAGCUUCCCUUAAAUUGAAUGCGGUUACAUCAUGUUUGGCUACUUCUUUAUUCAGUUCAUGCAUGCACUAUUCCCUGCAUAAACAAUUUACUGAUUGUAUUGACGUGAUGCCCUUGGUACUGAUUGGAUUUCAAAUUGAUUGCUAGAUUUUCCUGCUUGAGUAUGUUGUUAAUGCUUCAUGGAUGGACGGUUAGUUGCAGCAUAGUUGAGGUAGGUAAUUCCAGCUAGCGUUUUGGUUUCCUAUGUUCCCAUGUUGGUCUUAGAAAAUAUUUUUCCUAUACACCCUCUGUGAAUUGGAACUUUGAAUGGCUUACCAAUUACACAAUACUAAUGUAUGUAUCUGAUCGUGGUGUUAUGGUCGACGACUUGAUCAUUUGAAGUACUUGUCAUCGUAGACUACAAACAAGGAAGGAAUGUGUUGGUUUAUUGGUUAAGACUUGUUAUUACAACAACUAUAGUGCACGAAAAAACUGAUGAGGAUUUAUGGGUAAAAGUUUUUCAUACUUUUCCAAUUAGGAAAUAAGUCUCACACGAAUAACAACAGAUUAAAAUCUCUUAACAUUUAGUUGAUUAGUUUUUGCAUAUGCUGCCGUUAGGAAAUAAGUCUCACACGAAUAACAACAUAUUAAAAUCUCUUAACAUUUUCUUGACUAGUUUUUGCAUAUGCUGGCUUAAGAGAACGGUGAUUUCCUUAA